UACCUCUUAAGAGCUUACAAAUCAUUAUUGUAGGUGAGUUGCACUACUUAGCUGAAGGUCUUAACACAAAUCGUGUUCUUGCAACAUGUUUGUUGUAAAGUUUGUAGACGUGCCGCGUGAGGGUUACUAAACAAUUUUGUUUUGUCACAAACUAAAACUAUCCAAGCUGCAAUGUUGUAGGUCUAGGCAGCCAAAACAAUGACAAAAAAGGCCCCAUGAGCAUAGCUCAUGUCCUGUAUAUCACAACCUGAUAAAUACACACACACACACACACACACACACACACACACACACACACACAUUCACACACACAUUCACACACACAUACACACACAUACAUACACACACAUACACACCACUCCAUAGCUCAGUCACACUGCUCCGUAGCUCAGUGGUUAAAGUUCUACGCUGUCAGGGUUUGCAGCCUGGGAGGCGGAGGUUUAAGCCCUGCUCAGGCCGGGAUUUUUCCGCUAGCAAGGGGUGGCUACUGUCCCUCCUUGAGCAAGAGGGAUGGGAUGAGUGGUGUGUGAAGAUCGCAGCAUUACCUUGAGAUCGACAAAAAUGAGCCUGCUCCUGUCAGGAGGGUAUUUGCUGGCGAUUGCAAGUCCAACUUGUGACCAGGCCAUGGUAGUGGUGGUGGUGAAUUAUACAUACAGAAAACUGUUGAGAGUUAUUGGUGAGGCCUUUUUAGAAGAUUAGGUUCUGGUAAAAACUUAUAAAUGAUAUCAGGGAAAAAACGAUGAAGAUCUGGAAGAAGCUCGUGAUCUUUUAUCCAUCAACUGUACCUGACCUUGUUUGAUGAGUAAUGAGAAGUCAUUGUUUUACUAGUCACAAAUUUUCACAGGAAAAUCAGAUUCAAGGUGUGCAGCUGCCACUUUGUAGAUAAUUUUCUGAAACUUAAUCAGUGAAAAUUAUGUAAAACUCUGUCUGUUUUGAAAUCCUUGAUAUAUACUUACAUGUGUUGGCUUUGUUCUUCUACGAGCAGUUCUCCAUUCCAACUCUGUUCAGGCACAGGAUCCAAGGUCUUUCUGCUCUGCUUCAUAUCUUUAAUCUGAAAAAUGUAUCCAAUCAGUUUACUAUUAUUUUGUUGUGUCGAAUAAUAGUCCAGGUGUACAGACGUUAGUGCAUGUUGUACUUAUUUGUUCAUGUCACAAAAUCGUCUAAGGUCAGGACAAGUUUAUGAAAGGAAGCAUGCAUGUGUUUUUAUAAGUGAAAUGAGAACACUGAUCACACAAUACACACACAGAAGAGUUGGUAUAACAGACUUCUCUUCCUUCAGGCUCAGACAGAAUGCAUUUUGGGUGGUGAUGGUGAUGAUGAUGAUGGUGAUGAUUGGGAGGAUAGUGUGUGGUGGUGGUGGUAGUGGGUUAUGAGUGUGAUGAGGGAUGAGACUGGUAUAGCCACUGCCCGUUCUUGAAGUUGCUGGUUGUGUGACAUUAUUUAUUUGUCACUGAUAGAAAGGAUGAACCAGGGCAUGAAAAUAACAGACUGGUGUAUUGGCACUUGAAGAAGAGGGGAGAUGGUGAGAAGUUGGGGAGAGCUGUGAAGAGGAGGGGAGAUGGUGAGACAUAGGGAAAAGCUGUGAAGAGGAGAUGGUGAGGCAUUGGGAAGAGCUGUUUGGGUGGAAAUGCCAGAUCGCCACCCACCAGGCAGGCCAAAGAAAACAUGGAGGUAGUGCACUGGAGAGGAUUUGACAGCAUUGGGCAUUGGGGAGGCUGAGGCAAUGAACAUAAAUAGCUGGAAGCAUAUCUGACAUUAAACAGAAGAUGAUGAUGGUGGUGUUCAAUUUGGUGCUGUCCUUGAUAAAUAGUGAAGGAGGUGAAGAUGAGGGGAUGACUUGGCACCUUGAUGACUGUGGUGUGUGACAAUGGGGAGUGACGGAUGGAUGAUGAUGGUGAUGAGGAGUGAUGGAUGAUGAUAAUUAUGACUGGUAUGUGAUGAGGGUGAUGACUGACAUAUUAAAGCACCAGUAACCUCACCAAAGACGAAAUAGUGACCCAUGUUGUUGACCCAAUCCACUGUGACCUUCUCUCCCCCUCAGAGAAGUAGUCAGUCAUCUCGCUGGCUUCACUCACCAAUGAAAAAAAUAUUGAAGUUGUUAAUUGUUAGUGUGGUAGCAGCAGCAGCAGCAGCAGCCUUUGCAUAAACUAAUACUAUAUGAAGACAAACUUGUCAUAUUUCUGCUAUUUUUCUAGAUACUUCAUGUUUAAAGAAAAGAAAACAAUGA